rnacentral:tRNA from 1 species
ACUACUUUGGCAGAUAAGUGCAAUGGAUUUAGAAUCCUUGAAUGGGGGUUAUGCCUUCAGGUAGUA